AAUUCAUUAAGAAACAAUUUCAGCACUUACUUUCAUUCUCCCGCGCGCUCUUCACUGGGUUUUUAGGUUUGAGGAGUCUAGCUCUUCCAAGCUCUUCCUCUGGGUUUCACGAAAAGCUGAGUUCUGUUUUCUCCAGCCACCGCACAUUGUUAAGAGACACUGCACAAAAACCUGAUUUGUUGAGGAGGAAGUUAAACAGAUUCUACAAGUCAUUGCAUCCACUUGCAAGUUCUGCUUGUUUUGUUGCUUCUGGCAGGAUAGUUUCUGGUACCACCAUUCUGAGCCAAGUUAUGUAAUGCUAGUUUACUGGAUUCCUAAAACAGGCUGCACAAUUCCUUCAAAUGCUUCUCAUCGUGUAACAGUUGCUGCUAUUGUCUUAAAUGAUAAGAAAGAGGUUUGAAGUUAAAUAAGAUCAAAGACAUCUUAUCUCCAAAAAAAAUUAUAAUUUGGUUAGAAACACAGAACAUGGCUUUGUACUUGGAGUGUGAGGAGACUUUCACAGCAGCUAUUAGAGAAGUGAAAGAAGAGACAAAAAGUUUUGAGACUUUGAAUCAGCGGGCAGCGGGUGUGGUUCUAGAUCCAAUAGGUCAGAGAGAUAAUUUGCUUCUCUUGCAGGGCAUAGCAGUCGCUCUUGCUUAGUUCCCUCAAGUGAAAGUGGAUGACUAAUUCCUGGAGCUACAGUUUGCCAAGUUUGUGCAAGCGUCCUGGAACAACAGCUUCUUGUUAGGGGGUCUCCCUCGGAGAUUCGCAUUCGAGAUUGCUCGUGGUUGUCAGAGGAGGAAUUCACAAAAUGUUUUCAAUCUUGUGACCUUGGCCAUUUGGAGGUUAUACAUUUGCUUGUGGAAUAGGUGCUACAACUUGACCAGUGUGGACGAUGUAUAUCUGAUUAUGCAUUACCUGCUACUUUGGCAAAAUCACCAAGGUAUUUGCCUAGAUUAAUUAGUCUAUCCUUCAGUGGUGCAUGCCGUCUUACAGAUAGAGGAUUGCGUUCACUAGUUUCCUCUACUCCUCAACUUAGAUCCAUAAAUCUAAGCAAAUGCGCCCUUCUUUAAUGCAUGCAUUUAUCAUACUUCCAUCAAUCCAUGUUUACUCAUUUACACCUGAUUUAGCUAAAUUCACUAAUAUGGUUGGAGAUUUAUACCACCAGAUUCUCUAUUUUUUUUAUUGACAUCUACUGAAGUAAUUGCCAUCAAAUAUCAGAAUUUCAGUCGCCAUCUUGCCAUAAAUUUGAUUCAGCUGGAGGUGUUGUUUUUGCUGAUAAGUGUUGUUGUUCUGUUCUUCUUUCUGGCUUGGCUCUGGCGUGAAAUUUUUUGCUGCUGUUGGCGUUGAAAUUUUUCUUCCUUUGCUUACAGCAGUGGUUCCUCAUUGCCUUAUUAAUAAGACAUUCAUAUUUUCUUUCUUGAUAAAAUCUUCUUUCUUCUUUUGCUUACAGCAAUGGUUCCUUAUUAACAUUGAUAACCUUGUGUGGAAAGUUGGUGCAAUCCAUUUUAAUGAGUACUGAGAUGAGUUGUUAUCUUGUUAUAGCUGAGAAUUCAUUCAUAAAUAUAGAUAGCUGAGUUAUAUAUUUGGACAAGCUUCAACUUCUUUAAAGUUCAUGAACUCAUGUUAAAAUUAGUUUUUUUUUUAGGUGUUCAGGUUAUUUUCUCUUUAUGUUUUAAUUAGCUAUUAUUAUCAUUAGUUCAUUAGGGGGGAGAUGUUUGAUUCAGAGGAGAUGUACAAGUGAAGUGAAUAUACAAUGCUUAUAUUCACUUCAUUUUGUCAUCCAAGGGUAAUGUUGUUGAAUUGGUUUUUUCUCUCUUUACUUUAACUAUCAUGGAUUUUUUUUAGAACAUGUAUAACUUCAAAGACCUUUUCAGCAGAAGCUGACUAGAUCUUUAUGUAGGCAGAGGAGACUGGGAACCAAGUAUAUCUCUUCUUGGGAGACUGUCUCAAUUCAUUUUAGCAUUAUCCAGUCAAGAAUUUCUGGUAUAAUUGAUCUACAAGUUUGCCAUGUAGCCCCUUCAACUGAAUUUUUCUUUGUUUCAUUUAGUGUCAGCAUUAACCUGAUAUACUAUUUGGAUUUGAACUUCUCUAAAUUUUCUACAUCAUAUUAAUCUUUAUGUGGUCAGAUUGUCAUUUUAGCCGUUGAGUUAGUUAAUUUGGAGCAUAAGUGGGUUUUUUCUUUCCUAUACAUUUGAUAAAUAAAGGUAAUUUUUUUAGUCAAUCUUUUGUUUAAUGGGGGUAUGGGUAUCUAAAUGCUGUAUUCUACCGACAUUGAGAGCAGAUGCUAACCUUGAUUCUCGUAUAUUUGAUGUUUUGGCCCUUCUAGAGUGUUAUUUCGCACGGUAAGUUACUAUAAAUAUUGGUUCUGUAAACUGAUGAGGCAGCUUGUGUCCUUUACUUGGUGAUGUAUUACCCCUUGGCCAAUCUAAGUUGUAGUUUUAGUAUAUUUAGCAAAAACAGACCGAAACAGACCGUGGCAAUAGGCUGUUUUUUCCCAGUUUUAUGUUGCUGCUGGCAUUAUUUUGAUGUUGCUGAUGACCUUAUUUUGAUGUUGCUGAUGUGUUAUUUUGUGCUGCUCUGUGCCUUGAUUAUUGCUUUUGGCUCUGUUGAAUAGAUUUAUUCAAAGUUGUAGAUUGAAGAGCCAAACUGGUUUCCACUGACUUAGAGGACCAAUCUGAUUCUAAAUAUCCAGGUUUCACUCUUUCCUCUACACCCUACUUUUUUUAGCAGUUAACUCAUAUAAAUUUAUGUUUGUUUUUUGUAGUGCCCUGCUCAAACUAAUGAAAUAGAUUGUGGGUACUAUGUACUAAGCUUUCUAAAGGAGAUAAUUGCGCACAAAAAAUCUACAAUUCCACAAGCGUACUUCUCUGAUUGUCAAUUUGGCUUCUACGAUGAGUAUCAACUAAAUGAAAUUGAAGAAGAGUGGGCUACUUAUGUGUUAAAGAAUUUUGCCUAGUGUGGACCGCCAAGCUUUGGUGAUUUCAAGUAGUGGCCGGGGGUUUGUCAAGCUGCUGUUUUUUCAUCAAUAAAAGAGGCUGAUGAUGAGUCAACCUCAUUGUUGUUUGUUGUUGUUCCAGCUGCAUGUUUUGUCAUUCUUUUAACUCAUGUAGCUUAUUUGGUUUAAGUUCUUGAGAGAGUGUGUUCUCAACAACAAUUAGUAUUUUUAGACAAAUUUGUUAAGUGACAUGGGUUUAGUAUUGUUUUGUUGUUGGCACAUUUGAGUAA